AUGGCGGCCAAGGUGCUCCAGCUCCGCAGCGCCGACGGCAAGGUGCUCGUCGCUCCGGCGUGGGACUAUCGCCCGGCCGCCGCCCAAGCCCGCCCGCUGGAGAUGCGGGUGCCCUCGCGCGCCCUCGAGAGGGUGCUCCAGUACUGGACCAAGCACAGCCUGGCCAAGGCCUCCGGUGAGUCCCGGGAGUCCCUCGCCCGCUGGGACGCCGACUUCCAGCGCCGUCUCCAGGAAGACGGCCUCGCCAAGGAGGCCGCCGCAGCCGUCCAAGAACUCCGCCACCACGGCGUCCACCACGGAGGGCGUCCCCGUCGCCACGCCGCCACGGGCGCAUCUGGUGUCGCUGCUCCAGCCACCGCCGCCCGUGCUGAUCCCGUCCGGUACAACCCCCACCGCGAGGAAGCGGAAGACCCCGACGACGGAGAAGGCGAAGGCUGCCAGGAAGCCUCGCAAGCCGCAGCCGAGCUCGAGUUCGAUCCCAGUUCCAAUCCAGCCGGCGACAGUUCCAAUCCGAGUUCGACAAGAAUCAGGAGCUCUCCCCUGGAUAAAUGGGCACCAGCUCCAGUUCGAUCUGCUCGCCCACCUUCCCGAUCUCCAGACCUAGACACGCCAUCGAUGGCGGCGAAGAUGCUCCAGCUCCGCAGCGCCGACGGCAAGGUGCUCGUCGCUCCGGCGUGGGACUAUCGCCCGGCCGCCGCCCAAGCCCUCCCGCUGGAGACGCGGGUGCCCUCGCGCGUCCUUGAGAGGGUGCUCCAGUACUGGACCAAGCACAGCCUUGCCAAGGCCACCGGUGAGUCCCGGGAGUCCCUCGCCCGAUGGGACGCCAACUUCCAGCACCGUCUCGAGGAAGACGGCCUCGCCAAGGAGGCCGCCGCAGCCGCCCAAGAACUCCGCCGCUACGGCGUCGACCACGGAGGGCGUCCCCGUCGCCACGCCGCGACGGCCGGACCUGCUGGUGCCGCUCCUGCCACCGCCACCCGUGCUGAUCCCGUCCGUGCCUGGUGUGUCAACCACGGAGAACGCAGCCUUGCGCCGGCGAUGCCCGGCUCUUUCGAUGCCUCUGAUGUUGCCUCCGCCCCGCGCCCUGGGCCUGCCACCACCUUGCCGGCUGCUGCUGGUGCUGACCCCGUGGGUGUCCGGUGCGCGAUCCGUGCCCGUGGACGCCAGAUGGCUGAAGACGAGGAGUCCGCUUGCCACCACCGCAAGCGCCCGGCUUCCAAGGCUCCACUCCGCCUGCCUGCCACUGCUGUUGCGCCCGUGAAGAAGGUCUCUCAUCCCGUCGCUUCCAAGGCUCGCUCUUUCGUCGGCUCUACACCACUGCCUGUCACUGCUGUUGCGCCCGGUGUGAAGAAGGUGACUCCAGCUUCAACUCUGCGCGCUAGAAGGGGGAUGAGGGAGCUCAGCUGCAAGGUUCCGAAGCAAAACCAAUCGCCAUUGCCUGUCAUUGCUGUUGCAGCACCAAGGAAGCAACCAAUUCCUUGGCUGCCUCCAGUGGUAUUACGCCUUGCCUAG
rnacentral:rRNA from 1 species